rnacentral:rRNA from 1 species
AGAGUUUGAUCAUGGCUCAGAACGAACGCUGGCGGCGUGGAUAAGACAUGCAAGUCGAACGCUAAUCAGUCUGCAGCAAUGUAGAUUGGUUGGAGUGGCGCAAGGGUGCGUAACACGUGGGUAAUUUGCCGUGAAGACUGGGAUAACUUGCUGAAAGGCGAGCUAAUACCGGAUGUGGAAAUUGGGAGGCAUCUUCUGAUUUCUGAAGUUGGGGACCGUAAGGCCUGACGUUUCACGAUAAGCCCGCGGCCUAUCAGCUAGUUGGUGAGGUAACGGCUCACCAAGGCGAAGACGGGUAGCUGGUCUGAGAGGACGACCAGCCACACUGGAACUGAGAGACGGUCCAGACACCUACGGGUGGCAGCAGUCGAGAAUUUUUCUCAAUGGGGGAAACCCUGAAGGAGCGACGCCGCGUGGGGGAUGAAUGGCUUCGGCCCGUAAACCCCUGUCAUUUGCGAACAAUGUGUACUAUUUAAAAGAUGGUGCAUUGAUGGUAGCGAAAGAGGAAGGGACGGCUAACUCUGUGCCAGCCGCCGCGGUAAUAC